rnacentral:rRNA from 1 species
AUUGAACGCUGGCGGCAGGCCUAACACAUGCAAGUCGAGCGAGCGGCGGACGGGUGAGUAAUGUAUGGGGACUGCCCGAUAGAGGGGGAUAACUACUGGAAACUGUAGCUAAUACCGCGUACCAUAGGAUAGCCCAAGUGGGAUUAGGUAGUUGGUGAGGUAAAGGCUCACCAAGCCGACGAUCUCUAGCUGGUCUGAGAGGAUGACCAGCCACACUGGGACUGAGACACGGCCCAGACUCCUACGGAGGCAGCAGUGGGGAAUAUUGCGCAAUGGGGGCAACCCUGACACAGCCAUGCCGCGUGUAUGAAGAAGGCCCUAGGGUUGUAAAGUACUUUCAGUCGGGAGGCGUUACCGACAGAAGAAGCACCGGCUAACUCCGUGCCAGCAGCCGCGGUAAUAC